rnacentral:lncRNA from 10 species
ACAGAAUACCUAACUGCAAGAACUGCCGCAUCCCUGGUGGUCUGACCUUGUCUCUGAGCUAAGCAGCAGAUUUCAGCCACAGCGUCUGACUCUCAGGCAGACACAUCCUGUCCAAGGACUGGAGACAGAGCAUCCGUUCUCCCACCCAGAGCGGUCAGCUGCAUGUGGCUGGUUGGGGGGCGGUUCAGACAGAAACGGCCCAAGAGAAAUGGAAAUAUGAUGGCUGGUUGAUUGUUUCGCAGUCUGCAUGACAGACCACCCUCCUAACAAGACUCUAGGUCAAGUGCUCUUCUCUGCCCUGUGGAUCUACUGGGGAGAAAUUAGCUCUCGGUGGUAUUUCCAAUUAUGGAGAAAAGCGAUUCCUCCCUGGUCUGGCUAUCAUGUGUUUUGCAGUGGACCAAGAGACAUGAAGCCCGUUUUCCACCCUCGCCUCUUUCUCCAUCUAGCUGCAUGACCUUGGGAGGUGGCGUGACCUCUCGGCUUCUUUGCUGCCUCAUCUGUCAUGAUCCACCUUUACUACUUCAUAGCCAUGUUCUAGGAUAAAUGAGAGAAGCCUCUACAUCUUUUAGUCUCCCAGAAAGACUGGAACCAGUGAUGAGUUCCAUGAAGACAAAGACCUGUUUAUCUUGUUCUGCUCCAGCACCGAGCAGGUGCAGUGGCUUAUGCCUGUUAUCCCAGAACUUUGGGAGGCUGAGUCAGGAGGAUCACUUGAGGCCAGUUCAAGACCAGCCUGGGAA